rnacentral:rRNA from 1 species
CCUGGUGCUGUUAGCGCGGUGGAACCACACCGAUUCCAUCCCGAACUCGGAGGUGAAACGCUGUUGCGGUGAAGAUACUCGUCGGGUUGCCGACUGGGACAAUAGCUCGGUGCCAGGU